AUGUCUGCACAGUGGAAGGGCUCACCUCUGCCGACUGAACCUGUCAAGCUGUUCAUUGGUAUCCUUUCUGCAGCCAACCAUUUCGCCAAGCGGACGGCCGUUCGCAAGUCAUGGAUGAUUGCUACAAGGAAAUCGUCUAACAGUGUUGCCCGGUUCUUUGUCGCUCUGAAUGGGAAAAAAGAGGUCAAUGAAGAGCUGAAGAAGGAAGCAGAGUUCUUUGGUGACAUUGUUCUAGUGCCUUUCAUGGAAGCAGAGAAUCCUUGUGUUGGGCCAUGCAAAUUCCUGCAUUGGUGUGACUUGACUUCCAUUAUUCAGCAUAUUAAUGCUUUACGGGUCAUAUAUGAAUGGGAAGAGGAAGUGUAUCCACCUUAUGCAAACGGACCGGGCUAUGUGAUUUCAUCAGAAAUAGCUGAGUACAUCGUAUCCGAGUUUGACAACCAGGCACUGAGAUUGUUCAAGAUGGAAGACGUGAGCAUGGGCAUCUGGGUUCAGAAGUUCAACAAGACUCGCCAGCUAGUGGAGUAUUCGCACGACGUCAAGUUCUUCCAGGCCGGCUGCUUUGACGGCUACUACACCGCGCACUACCAGUCGCCGCAGCACAUAAUCUGCCUGUGGAGGAAGCCGCAGUCCGGGAGUGCUCAAUGCUGCAAUGCCAGAUGA
rnacentral:rRNA from 1 species